CUCCUACCUACGUCGCCUGGAUUAGUCACUUGCCAAAGCGGCGGAGCUCUGCUGCGAUUCUCGCGGGCGACCGGGCGAACGGAACCGGUGGACGCCGAUUAAGAGGACAGCCGUGCUGGAACAAGCAAAUGACAGCGAUAUUCUGAUGCAGCCGCUGCACUACCUAGUGGCGUGGCCGGCUGAGGAGCCGCUGGCAGCUAUGGUGGAAGUAAGUGCGGACGGCCAGAUCCAUGCGGCGGAAGGGG
rnacentral:rRNA from 1 species